rnacentral:rRNA from 1 species
CAUUUAAAGAGUGCGUAAUAGCUCACUAGUCGAGUGACACUGCGCCGAAAAUGUACCGGGGCUAAACAUAUUACCGAAGCUGUGGAUUGUCCUUUGGACAAUGGUAGGAGAGCGUUCUAAGGGCGUUGAAGCAUGAUCGUAAGGACAUGUGGAGCGCUUAGAAGUGAGAAUGCCGGUGUGAGUAGCGAAAGACGGGUGAGAAUCCCGUCCACCGAUUGACUAAGGUUUCCAGAGGAAGGCUCGUCCGCUCUGGGUUAGUCGGGUCCUAAGCUGAGGCCGACAGGCGUAGGCGAUGGAUAACAGGUUGAUAUUCCUGUACCACCUAUAAUCGUUUUAAUCGAUGGGGGGACGCAGUAGGAUAGGCGAAGCGUGCGAUUGGAUUGCACGUCUAAGCAGUAAGGCUGAGUAUUAGGCAAAUCCGGUACUCGUUAAGGCUGAGCUGUGAUGGGGAGAAGACAUUGUGUCUUCGAGUCGUUGAUUUCACACUGCCGAGAAAAGCCUCUAGAUAGAAAAUAGGUGCCCGUACCGCAAACCGACACAGGUAGUCAAGAUGAGAAUUCUAAGGUGAGCGAGCGAACUCUCGUUAAGGAACUCGGCAAAAUGACCCCGUAACUUCGGGAGAAGGGGUGCUCUUUAGGGUUAACGCCCAGAAGAGCCGCAGUGAAUAGGCCCAAGCGACUGUUUAUCAAAAACACAGGUCUCUGCUAA